UGGAACGCGUUUCUCCCUUCUUGCACGGUCCUCUAGCGAUUUUCUCGCCCCGUGGAAGUCGGCCAGUGGAAACUCGGCCGUUGCUGAUACACGUCGAACAGGUCUAGUUCGUGGGGAAGCGCGCAGAGUCGACAGUUGGGAGUCGGAACAGCGUGGCCGUACAGCGUAUGCGCCAUAUGUACAUAAUUACCACGGCCAAUCGGGGAUUGAAAGCGGUGCAAAGCUUUGUCGUAGCGUCGAAGCUCCAGGGUCUGCUUCGUCCCGUUGGUUCCCUCGCGUGCGUGCGUUAGCGCGCGCGCACACACAGCCGCGCAACGGUGGUUCAGUUGGUUAUUGACGUUCAUGUGCACGGGGCGCGUUGCUAGAGUCUCUUCAGCCACAGCAGCUCGAAAGUCGAGAGAAGAACGGAAAGAAUUGGCGCGGGCUGCAGCGGUGCAGGAGAAGCUAGAGGUGCCGGAGAUAGACGGAAGGAGAAGAUACCGAAGGCCUGUACCAGCGUGUGGCCGGAGGAAGGGAAAAAGGAACGUGCGCGAUCGGCGGGCAGAGAAAAAUAGCAGCCGGGUUUGCCGCGAGGAGGGAGGAACCGAACUACAUGGCUCCGAAAAUUCUUCCUUCUUUUCGCCGUCCACGCAUCUGCGAUCCACGUUCGUACGAGCACCACCACCGGUUCACUCAGCGGACCGCUGGAUCGAAAUAAUUCGAAAUCCGAUUCGAGUUCGGUCAGUUCCGCGAGCCUUGUCGGGAAAAGAAGAGGAGUGCGAUCCAACAGCGGCGGCCUGCUGGUCGGUGUUACGCGUCCCCUCUAACGCAUCUUGAACGAUAUACGCUCGAGAGCAUAGGAACGACUGUGACAACGAGCUGAAAGAGAGAAAGAGAGAAAGAGAGAAAGAGAGAGAGAGAGAGAGGGAGAGAGGGAGAGAAGGAGCGUGUGCGCGAGAAAAGAGAAGCAUGACCGCGAUGCAAACGGUGCUGCCGAUUGUAGUAAAUCGUCGUUAAUAUUUUCUACGGUUCUCGAACUGCACGCUGCACCGUGAAGCUUAUGUCACACGCAGUCGAAAGGGACACCAGCAUCCACGGAAGACGAAAGCGGAGAAAACCGAGAGAGGAACAGCGUCACGCUGUGAAAAGAGAGAGGACGGAAGAAAAUCGGGGGCAUGUUCCAGGACAAUAAUCGUGUGCCAGCAACGUGAAACCGUGAGCUUCCUUCGACCCCUUCGACGCGUUCAAGUGAUUCUCCUGUGCCUGUAACCCGCGGUCGUGAUCUCUCGCGAGCAUCGAUGCUUCGUUUUCGUACCAAGGGUGGUAAACCGAUGUUCACUCUCGUACGAACAAAAGUCCUCUCGACAACGGUCGUCGUACACACAUCCUCCUUCGAUCAUCCCCUUAUCCCCUUCGUUUCUUCUGGCUCGUAUCGCAAUUCGCGUUCGCCGUGUUUGUUUCGAUUCCUCUGUCGUUGACUCCUCCUUUGCCAGUGUCGUUUCGACAGAAACCAGGGAAUCGUUCCAGCGAGAUCGGCUGGAAAUCCAAGGGAGAAAUUCCCUCCGACCUACGACGAUUCUCUCUCCCUCGUACACGACCCACGCCGUAUCGAUUAUACUCGCCGCUCGAGACAGAUAUCCGAAUCGUUGAUUUUCAGCCUUGCAUCGCGACGCGUUCAUUCGCGCGUAAUCCUCGCGUAAAUUCCGUCGAAAUUAACGCAAUCUUUUCGAGUCGUCGGCAACAUUCUUCCUGCGUGUUUCGCAACGAGCUCGUCGCGAACCACGAGCCUCCGCUUCCGUCGCGUUAACGCGAUAAUUUCACCGAUCGAUGCUGAAGAGCCACGCGAUUUUUUACAACGUUAAGCAGGGUAAGGCGAACAGGGAAAAGAGGAAGAACGCCCCGCGUGUCUGUGCCAUCCGCUGCUCGCGUAGUGGAGCAGCCAGCGUCCGCGUGGCAGCUCCGUUUCGACCAACGACCGCGCGUUCUUCGUGCUAGGCAUGCCUUCCUCGUUGCCCUGAGCAAUUUUUUCUACUCGCCGAAGUAAGCUUAUCCGAGAUAACGGUAUUCGAGAGAAAACGAAGAAAAAGAAAAAAAAAAGAAUAAAGGAUAAUAAUAGCAAAAAAAGAAAAAAAAAAGAAAAAAAAGUAUUCUUAUAGUUAAACGUAACGAUUAAGAUCCUUGUUGGGCCUUUUGUUGAACUGCCGUCGCCGUUCUCGUCCUCGUCUUCGUCGUCGGCGUCGUUGACACUGCGUCGUUAACGUCGUCGUCGUUUGUUGUUAUUGUUACACUGUUGUUGCUCUCGAUAGCAGCCACUCGUUGCUGCCAUUAUCCGUUUCCCUCGUCUCCGUCGCCAGUAAUCUCGUGGCCGUGGUGAUUUUUUCGUGACACGUCUGUACGCUCUUUACACGUGUCCCGUCCCGGUUUACCCCGAACGGUGCUGGUCCAUCGAGUCUCGCCUCUCGAUAAACGCGUGGAACGACAAAAGGCAGGAAAGAAGGGGAAGAAAGAAUAAGAAUAAGGCUCUCGUUGCCGAGUAGAACAGGCAAUAGGAACGAGCGGCCGUGAAAGGGAGCGGAAAGCACAGGCGGAAGUUGGAUUAUUCGUAUUUGGAACAAGGGACCCCGAGGUGAAGCAUGGUAGUCAAGAACGAGAGUACGAGAAAUGGGCAUGAGCUGGCUCCGUUGAACGAGGAACGUCAGGCAGGCCAGAACGUGACAAUCGUGGUAACCGGAAGCCAAAAUGCUGCUGGCAGUCAAGAAACCAAGGAGGAGAACAGAGCGGAAUGGAGCGGCAAGAUGCAAUUUUUCCUCAGUAUUAUCGGUUACAGCGUGGGACUCGGGAAUAUCUGGAGAUUCCCUUACCUGUGCCAACAGAACGGAGGAGGUGCCUUUCUCAUCCCCUUUUUCGUGAUGCUAAUCCUAGAGGGAGUACCCCUCUUUUUAAUCGAGCUGGGUCUCGGUCAACGAAUGCGACAGGGUGCCCUUGGUGUAUGGAACACGAUACAUCCAUGGCUAGGCGGUAUAGGAAUAGCAUCUUGCAUCGUCACCUUCUUCGUAGCGCUUUAUUACAACGUCAUCAUUACCUGGUGCUUCUAUUAUCUUUUCAAUUCGCUCGAGGCCGUCACGAUUAAGUUCGGCGAACCGUUACCAUGGGCGCAAUGUCCAGAGGUUGAUGGCAAGCCAGUCGAGGAAUGCGUGAAGAGUUCGGAAACUGCCUAUUUUUGGUACAGAACCACGUUGGACGCGGCACCGUCGAUCCAAGAAGGGCAGAGUCUCAAGUGGUGGAUCGUCCUUUGUCUACUCUUGAGUUGGAUCGUCGUCUUCUUUAUCGUGAUGAAGGGAAUACAAUCAUCGGGAAAGGUGGUAUAUUUUACAUCCAUGUUCCCGUAUUUGGUGCUUACUAUCUUUUUUAUUCGUGGAAUAACGUUAAAAGGUGCCAGCGCUGGAUUGGCCCACAUGUACACGCCAAAGAUCGAGAAACUGUUAGAGCCGAUGGUCUGGCUCGACGCAGCGACGCAGGUUUUUUACAGUUUCGGACUAGCGUUUGGUUCCUUGAUCGCGUUCGGUUCGUACAACACUCCGGACAACAACUGCGUCCGGGACGUGAUCCUGGUCAGCGGUUGUAACGCCUUCACCGCUAUUUACGCGAGUGUCGUGAUAUUCGCCAUUCUAGGCUUUAAGGCGAUGACAAACGUCGAUAAGUGCCUCGCGAGUAACAAAGACUUACUAUUUCAAAAUGGACUCAUAACGCAUGAGAACAUCACCAUGGACGAGUACGAACAAGCUUUAAGUACCUUGGACACGGCCGCGUUGAACUUCACACUGAAAACGUGCAGUCUCAGCGAGCAAUUAGACAACGCCGCCGAGGGAACAGGGUUGGCUUUCAUUGUCUUCACGCAGGCGAUAGUCGAGCUGCCCGGUGCCCCGUUUUGGUCCUGCAUCUUCUUCCUCAUGCUUCUAGCACUCGGCCUGGGCUCCCAGAUCGGUAUACUAGAAGGCAUGCUGUGCGUGAUCUUCGACAUAGAUCUGUUCAAGAGAAUAAAGAAGCAAUACAUGACAGGAGUGGUCUGCACGGUCUGCUUCUUCGUCGGUUUGAUAUUCUGCACCGGCGCGGGAGAAUACUGGCUCAAGAUGUUCGACAGCUUCGCCGGUACCAUCGGUCUCGUGAUGGUCGCGCUCAUGGAAAUGGUGUCCGUCAUCUUCAUCUACGGCCACGAAAAAUUCACGAAAGACAUCGAGGAAAUGACGGGAUACAGACCUGGGACGUACUGGCAAUUUACCUGGCGAUUUCUCGCCCCUAUAAUCAUGGUCUGCAUUCUCGUCUCCAGUAUAGCGUCCAUGUUCAUCAAAAAGCCUCAAUAUUCUGCGUGGGACGCGUCACAGGGUAUAGCUGUGCCCACCGCAUACCCCAGCUGGGUAUUGGCCAUAGCGGUUGUCAUCAUUUUCGCGGGCAUCGCGCCAAUACCGAUCGUAUUCCUUUUGAGGCGGUUCCAAUGCGUCAAGCUGGAUGUUGAUAUCCAUCAAGGCAGCAUACGACGCAUCGACACCACGGUUUCUACCAAGGAGAUGAUGGGCGACGUCGAUUUAUAGGGAAGCGUCCGUUCUGUGUGCGGUAACGUCGAUUAAUCGCUUCUUCCAUAGCUACCUUACACUUGGACGAGUACCACGAUCGUCUCGAGGACUUUCCCGAGGAGGACGAAGACGUGAAUAGCGACGAC